AAUAGCUGUAGUGAUACGUCUCCCGGUUAUUUCAACAAUAACAGUACAUUUGAUGCAUGCUCCCAUUUGAACCAUCAAAAACUCUGAACUAUAUAUUAUGUGGCAUUAUAGUAGUCAUCAUCAUAUUUUUGGGCUUUUAAAAGGCCAAGAAAUAUGCAAAAGCAAAUUCCCCAGGCUCAAGAAUAUAAAAGAGAAUCAUAAUCCAAAAAACCAGCAGUACAGCUAUUGAAAAAGAACUAGGUGGAAAUAUUAGCGGUCCUGGAAACAGACUGGUCACAGCAGCUACUGUUUUUAUAUUGAACAAUGUCAUAUCUCUAGAGUGCUUCAGUUAAGUUACAUCCUAACUUCUACCGGACACAGCUGGAAAAAACUGCAUAUCUCUUGAAUAAAGUAUUACUUCAAUUAAGUAAAGUAGU